GGGUGCGAUCAUACCAACACUACAACACCAAAUUCC
rnacentral:rRNA from 1 species